UACGUAGGGUGCGAGCGUUUAAUCGGAAUUACUGGGCGUAAAGCGUGCGCAGGCGGUUUUGUAAGCCAGAUGUGAAAUCCCCGGGCUUAACCUGGGAAUGGCAUUUGGGACUGCAAGGCUUGAGUGCGGCAGAGGAGACUGGAAUUCCUGGUGUAGCAGUGAAAUGCGUAGAUAUCAGGAGGAACACCGAUGGCGAAGGCAGGU
rnacentral:rRNA from 1 species